ACUCCUACGGGAGGCAGCAGUGGGAAUAUUGCACAAUGGGCGCAAGCCUGAUGCAGCCAUGCCGCGUGUGUGAAGAAGGCCUUCGGGUUGUAAAGCACUUUCAGUUGUGAGGAAGGUGGUGUAGUUAACACCUGCACUAUUUGACGUUACCUACAGAAGAAGCACCGGCUAACUCCGUGCCAGCAGCCGCGGUAAUACGGAGGGUGCGAGCGUUAAUCGGAAUUACUGGGCGUAAAGCGCAUGCAGGCGGCCUGUUAAGUCAGAUGUGAAAGCCCGGGGCUUAACCUCGGAAUUGCAUUUGAAACUGGCAGGCUAGAGUCUUGUAGAGGGGGGUAGAAUUUCAGGUGUAGCGGUGAAAUGCGUAGAGAUCUGAAGGAAUACCAGUGGCGAAGGCGGCCCCCUGGACAAAGACUGACGCUCAGAUGCGAAAGCGUGGGGAGCAAACAGGAUUAGAUACCCUGGUAGGCUCU
rnacentral:rRNA from 1 species